rnacentral:snRNA from 1 species
UAUCUUCUAUCUCCUCUAAAAAA